ensembl:lncRNA
GCUGGAUGGGAGAGAGCUUCGUGUCAACAGCUGAUUCAUUUUCCCGGGAGUUCUGGAAAAGCACGUUCUGUAGAACAGCAAAAUAGUGCAAGCAUCCCUUCUGGCCAACACUCUGUUGCAGAGCUUGGUGACCACACCCAUGACUUGGAACCCAAUGUUUUCUCUACAGACUUAUUCAGAGACACAGAAUUGAGAGCAGAGUGUCUGUCUGUCAUCCAGUCCCACACCAGACAGCCCUGAGCAUGAGGUGCAUUGUGUCAGAGGUCAAUCCGGCACUUCUUCUGUGAAAGAGGGGAUUGGAGAAGUUGGUGUCCAGCACCAGGAGGUGUCACCCCCUGUGUUCUCAACAGACCUUACCAGUGAGACCGAAUCGAGAUCAGCGUGUCAGUCAUCCAGAGCCGUGCCAAACGACUCUGCUUGUGAGUGUACAAUCCAUAAGCUGGUUUUUGAAUUGGUGAGAAUUGACAAAUGCUGGAUAUGCCAUUCACCUUUGACAUCUGUCAGAUGGCACGGUGUAAGAUGCAAACAUGACAUAGACGAUAUGGAUACUGGAUCACAGCAACUCCCUAAUGUUUCCACAUUGCAAGGUACUGUUAAAAU